UUUUGUGGUGUAAGCGUCACACUAGGUUUUCAUCCUAGAGGAAUAAAAAAAUAUUUUAUCAAAAAUAC
rnacentral:tRNA from 1 species